UACGUAGGGACCGAGCGUUGUCCGGAAUUAUUGGGCGUAAAGAGCGUGUAGGCGGCCAGAUAAGUCCGCUGUGAAAUCUCGAGGCUCAACUUCGAGCUGUCGGUGGAAACUAUCUGGCUAGAGUCCGGAAGAGGAGAAUGGAAUUCCUGGUGUAGCGGUGAAAUGCGCAGAUAUCUGGAGGAACACCGGUGGCGAAGGCGGCAUCCUGGACCGGCAUUGACGCUGAGGCGCGAAAGCUAGGGGAGCAAACGGG
rnacentral:rRNA from 1 species